AUUGAACGCUGGCGGCAUGCUUUACACAUGCAAGUCGAACGGUAACAGGCCUUCGGGUGCUGACGAGUGGCGAACGGGUGAGUAAUGCAUCGGAACGUGCCCAGAGGUGGGGGAUAACGCAGCGAAAGCUGUGCUAAUACCGCAUGUGAUCUGAGGAUGAGAGCGGGGGACCAGGCAGCAAUGUUUGGCCUCGCGCCUUUGGAGCGGCCGAUGUCAGAUUAGGUAGUUGGUGGGGUAAAGGCCUACCAAGCCGACGAUCUGUAGCUGGUCUGAGAGGACGACCAGCCACACUGGGACUGAGACACGGCCCAGACUCCUACGGGAGGCAGCAGUGGGGAAUUUUGGACAAAGGGCGCAAGCCUGAUCCAGCAAUGCCGCGUGCGGGAAGAAGGCCUUCGGGUUGUAAACCGCUUUUGUACGGAACGAAAAGGCUCUGGCUAAUACCUGGGGCUGAUGACGGUACCGUAAGAAUAAGCACCGGCUAACUACGUG
rnacentral:rRNA from 1 species